GAGUAGCUGGGAUUACAGGCGUGUGCCACCAUGCCCGGCUAAUUUUUGUGUUUUUAGUAGAGACCGGGGAAGGUAUGGGCCCUCUUUUGAGAAAAAUGCAGAGUGACACUGAAUUUUGUAACUACAUCAGGAGGCUCUUGAACCUUCUGCAGCUCACUCGUGGAGUUUGUAGAGAUGCGUAAUAAUCCGAAGUGUUAAGGAAGAAGGUUCUGUUGAGAAAAAGUUGGAGGGCUGAAAGGGAUGCCUUUCGCUAUUUCGACAUGUGUGGCUGUACCCCAGAGUGCCCUGGCUAACACGCAAAACCAUGAAUUAGGCGGCUUGGCGAGGCUCAGUGGAGGCUGGGGCCGAGAGUCAUGUCAAAGUUUGUGGGGUUAACCUGCACCCAGUGACAGUCAUGGCGAAGUUUGUGAGGUUAACUCGCACCCAGUAACGCUGUUCCAAUGCAAGGUGUGUAUUUGGUGUCAUCCACGGGAAGAGGAAACAGCAAAUUUUCUCAUGGCCUUGGCAGUUCCACAUGAUGGACAUUUCAUAUCUGCAGUUUUCUUCGCAUGAGAUGGCUUUUUUGCACAAAAACACUGGAAUCCAGUGAGCAAGAAUGAUAGAAUGCAAGAUGGAUUUCCACAUGAGGAAGUGUCACGAACAAGCGUUUUGCAUCUCUGUCAGCUGGAUUCCCCCAUGUGUACGUAUGUGAGAACAUGCCGUGUUUCCUGUCUGUAAUGGUAGAGGCAGCCCUGAUACUGGAUUUUCACCUGAGGAUGGAUAGAUCUUCAGGGUUCAAGUGGGUUUGCAUCUGGACUUUAGGGUGGCCCUGUAGGCCCUGUGUGAGAAGCCCCCUUCCCAGUGAACUUUCCCUUGUGUGCCCGCGUGGACAGCCAACAGGGGGAGCAGUGCGAGCGUGAAGGCAGACAGUGGCCUGGCCCAGUCUGAUGAUGGCUGAACUCUGUGACCCCGGGGCCUGUUUCAGCCUCCUGCUGUCAGAAAGCAGCUGUUUGGGAAGAGGCUGUGAUUCGGCCUUGUUUGAGGGCCGAUACUCUGAAUGGGGAGAGACCCACCGACCCUGUGGGGCUGGUCCCUACAUCUGGCGCUCUGACGUGGGGCUCUCCCUCGCUGUGUGAAGUUGCACCCUGAGUGCGGGAUCAGCGGAGGAGUUCAACGAGAGAUUCCUGAGGAUUGCAGUCUAUAAACUUGGUGGAAAAGAACUACAGCCUGUGUGGGUCCCCUCCCGACAAUUAAAAUUGCACCAUAACUCCAAAGAUGAAACGCUCCCAGAAAGAAAAGGCAAAGACCCAUCGGAAACAAAAGAGCAACUUUCACCGCCUGAUACAUACACUUCAUGACAUCCACAUUGAGACAAAAUCUCGCCGUGUGACCUACAACACCUCUCGUUCAACCCCACCUACUUGGGGUCGAAUACAGAUUUUAUCUCAUCAAACAGAAAAAUUCUUAACAGAAAAAGGAAUCCCAAAAAUGACUGGUAAUAUAAUUCUGGCUGCCUUUAUGGUAGUCAGUGCAGCGUCUGCAGAUGCCUCUAAGGAGUCCGAAACCAAGUCCGAAGUCAACAACAAGCAAUGAUGGCGAUGGCGAUUCUAGUUAAUAAAAAGGGGGGAGAUGUGGGCGGCAAGCCACCCAGGCACCGAGGCAAGAGACAGAGGACACGAGCUGUUCCAGUAUAAUAAAAUAUAAAACAAGAAUAGUUAUACCAGAUAUAGAUCUUAGAUAUGAUUAUAUACGAAUAUCAUUAA
rnacentral:lncRNA from 1 species